UACGUAGGGGGCUAGCGUUGUCCGGAAUCAUUGGGCGUAAAGAGCGUGUAGGCGGCCCGGUAAGUCCGCUGUGAAAGUCGGGGGCUCAACCUUCGAAAGCCGGUGGAUACUGUCGGGCUAGAGUGCGGAAGAGGCGAGUGGAAUUCUUGGUGUAGCGGUGAAAUGCGUAGAUAUCAAGAGGAACACCUGAGGUGAAGACGGGUUGCUGGGCCGACACUGACGCUGAGUGCGCGAAAGCCAGGGGAGCAAACGGG
rnacentral:rRNA from 1 species